GUAGUACUCCCUCCAUCCCAAAAUUCUUGUCUUACAUUUGUCUAGGUACGGAUGCAUCUAAUACUAAAAUGUGACUUGAUACAUCUGUAUUUAUACAAAUUUAAGACAAGAAUUUUGGGACGGAGGGAGUAGUAC
rfam:Triticum urartu cultivar G1812 contig490956, whole genome shotgun sequence.